rnacentral:rRNA from 1 species
AAUCAACGCUGGCGGCGUGCCUCAGACAUGCAAGUCGAACGAUUAAGACUUCCUUCGGGAAGUGUAUAAAGUGGCGCACGGGUGAGUAACACGUAAGUAAUCUACCCUCGAGUGGGGAAUAACGUUCGGAAACGAGCGCUAAUACCGCAUAAUGCAGCGGCAUCGCAAGAUGACAGUUGUUAAAGGAGUAAUUCGCUUGAGGAGGAGCUUGCGGCAGAUUAGCUAGUUGGUAAGGUAACGGCUUACCAAGGCUACGAUCUGUAUCCGGUCUAAGAGGACGGUCGGACACACUGACACUGAAUAACGGGUCAGACUCCUACGGGAGGCAGCAGUCGGGAAUUUUGGGCAAUGGGCGAAAGCCUGACCCAGCAACGCCGCGUGAAGGAUGAAGUAUUUCGGUAUGUACACUUCGAAAGAAUGGGAAGAAUAAAUGACGGUACCAUUUAUAAGCUCCGGCUAACUUCGUGCCAGCCGCCGCCGUAAGAC